rnacentral:tmRNA from 1 species
ACUCGUCCGAUACUGGGUUACUUAGUAUUGGACUAAAUAAUAGGUAACUCGCUUGUACACAGCGUGCACGUCCGCGUUGUACCGGUUAAAUUAAAUGGCAGUGCUAAGUAUGUAGAACUGUCUGUAGAGUGCUUGCGGACGCGGGUUCGAUUCCCGCCGCCUCCACCA